UGGGGAAUAUUGGACAAUGGGCGCAAGCCUGAUCCAGCCAUGCCGCGUGAGUGAAGAAGGCCCUAGGGUUGUAAAACUCUUUCAACGGUGAAGAUAAUGACGGUAACCGUAGAAGAAGCCCCGGCUAAUUUCGUGCCAGCAGCCGCGGUAAUACGAAAGGGGCUAGCGUUGUUCGGAAUUACUGGGCGUAAAGCGCGCGUAGGCGGCCUGCCAAGUUAGAGGUGAAAGCCCAGGGCUCAACCCUGGAAUUGCCUUUAAAACUGGUAAGCUUGAGGAUGCGAGAGGUGAAUGGAAUUCCGAGUGUAGAGGUGAAAUUCGUAGAUAUUCGGAAGAACACCAGUGGCGAAGGCGAUUCACUGGCGCAUUUCUGACGCUGAGGCGCGAAAGCGUGGGGAGCGAACAGGAUUAGAUACCCCCGUAGUCC
rnacentral:rRNA from 1 species